UACGUAGGGGGCUAGCGUUGUCCGGAUUUAUUGGGCGUAAAGGGCGCGUAGGCGGUUGGAUAAGUCAGCUGUGAAAACCACGGGCUUAACUCGUGGCCUGCAGUUGAGACUGUCUGGCUUGAGUGUGGGAGAGGAGAGUGGAAUUCCUGGUGUAGCGGUGAAAUGCGUAGAUAUCAGGAGGAACACCGGUGGCGAAGGCGGCUCUCUGGACCACAACUGACGCUGAGGCGCGAAAGCUAGGGGAGCAAACAGG
rnacentral:rRNA from 1 species